rnacentral:lncRNA from 1 species
CAAAACUUAUGUAUCUAGAAAAGCAAAAAGAAUAGUAAUUUGUGACGGAGGGAGUAUUUGAGAAUAGACGGAGCGUUUAAAUAUUAUUCAACUAAACCAUACAAGGAAAAAUCAUACCAACCCAAUAUACACUUGACCCAAAAAACCAACUCAAUUGUCACCAUCACCAACCACAUGGUGUGUUUACAUUUAAGAUUUGGAAACCAAUUAUUCAAAUCUAGUACUUGCUAUGUUUUCAAUAUAUAACGUUUAGGGCAUUCUAACUAUUCAAAAAAUGAACUGAUAAUUAGAUUUUCCUAAACAUCAUUUAUUUUGAAAAAGAGGGAAUAUAUAUUUAUUUCUAUGGUAGAAC